GGUAGCGUGGCCGAGCGGUCUAAGGCGCUGGUUUAAGGCACCAGUCUCUUCGGUGGCAUGGGUUCGAAUCCCAUCGCUGCCA
rnacentral:tRNA from 1 species